AACUGAGGAUGGAUCAACAACAUUGUAGUUACUUCACAAUACUAACCUACAAAGAAAGAAGCUUGUACAGAGUUAUAACAAUAUUCCAAAACAUGAAUCCUGUUUGCAAAGGCACUUUGUUAAUACUGCAAAAAAAGGACAUUAACUUUUUGUCCUGAAUCCAACCAAACACAUCCCUGAGUACCACACUUCAUAUUUUGGUUGUGGCUGCAUCAUGUUAUGGGUAUUCUUGUCAUCGGCAAGGUCUAGGGAGUUUAAAAAAUAAAAUAAAAUACACGGAAUACAGCUAUACGCACAUGCACAAUCCUAGAGGAAAACCUGGUACAGUCUGCUUUCCAACAGACACAGGGAGAUUAAUUCACCUUUCAACAGGACAAUAACCUAAAACACAAGGCCAAAUCUACACCUGAACGUUCCCGAGUGGUCUAGUUACAGUUUUGACUUAAAUUGGCUUGAAAAUCUAUGACAAGGCUUCAAAAUGGCAGUCUUCCAAUGAUCAACAAUUAACUUGACAGUGCUUGAAGAAUUUUUUUUAUAUAAUAAUGGGCAAAUAUUAUACAAUCCAAGUGUGCAAGGCUCUAAGAGACUUACCCCCAAAAGACUCACAGCUGUAAUCGCCGCCAAAGGUGCUUCUACAAAGUAUUGACUCGGGUGUGAAUAGUUUCGUAAAUUAGACUUCUAUAUUUCAUUUUACAAUAAAUUUGUACAAACUUCUAAAAACAUGUUUUCACUUUCAUUAUGCAGUAUUGUGUGUAGAUGGGUGAGAGAAAAAAUAUAGUUUAAUCCAUUUUGAAUUCAGGCUGUAACACAACAAUAUGUGUAAUAAGUCAAGGGGUAUGAAUACUUUCUAAAGCAUUGUAUGUUAUUUUCAGGUAUACUGGCUCUGGCAGCCAAAACAGCGAAGUACUCCAUCUAAACAAAUCAAUUCUCAAUUGCAACAGAUUCAUAAAGCCCUUUACUUUCAUAUCCCAUCAAAAUAAUUUCACAAAUGCAAAGUACACACUUACUGUCCACUGUUUCAACUGGCUUUAUCACAGUUACAGCCGACAGUUUUCAGUGACAACACGUUUCUGGCAGCUUUAUUCCGCUACACGCAGGUGUUCGGAGCAUUCUAGAUGGCUAAUUAGCACAAGUGGUUCCUCUGUCUUUAGUCUGUCUUCUGUAAGCAUGCACUGUAACAUGGAGAUAUGGCCGCGAGGGAACACUAACCCUAUAAAGGUGUGUAUCAGUUUAACCGUAUGUAUUAAAAAAAAGAUUUCUCGCUGAUAUGAAAGACAAGGUCUUUAUGUUUCCAAAACCGUGAUGCAUGUCAAUGUUCAGGCCGAGCCUAUGGGGCUCUUAACAAAACUCCCCCGUACAGAAGACGCCUUUGUCCAAUGACUCUUAUGUGUGAAUUGCAAUGAAAUUGUAAUGGAAUUGCGAGUCAUGACUCAUGAUCAAGGGCUGAUCCUAUCAAAACCCAAACUCUAAGAUUGUAGUUUGUUUUUGUUGUCAAUCUAAGUGUUUGUAAACAAACAAUGUGUGCUGCGGAUCUAAAAUGUUUUUAAAACCACCAUGCCAAAUUCAUAGACUGUCAGUCUGUUCAGAGGAUUUGAGCCCAUCCCUUAGUUAACCCCACAAAGUGGCAGCUCAAGCUGUCGAAUUGCUGAAUAUGUGAAAGGUAAAUGCAAGCACCAGAUAACUAAAUACCAGUGAUGGAUAGAUCACUUGGCUAGCUAUGCCUGUAUUACUUGCUUGACACUCGGCUUGGUUUUGUUUUCCAGGUGUGUAUGGCAUGCCAGUGCAUGCUCAUUGCUUGUGUUGGAGCUGUACCAGAAUACCACAUUGAACAAGGUGACUACACCAACCAUGAGGAGCUCAUCAAACGCGUUACAUUUACAGAGGACAUCAACUCUAUCGUGACGGAGGUGAGAGGGGCCACUGUUCAUGAUUCAAUGGGAACUGUACUGUGCUUGAGAAUGUAGUGUCAUUCACACUUGUAUGGAAUUGAACAUAUUUCCAAAUACUCUAGAUGCUGGAAAAUAUAUGAAUGAUAUCUUCCAGUCUCUGUCCUUCCUUUCUCUUAGUGGUUCCUUAUAAACCAACAGGCUUACGAGGUCAGUUUGGCAGGCUCUUUGUUCUUUGCUGGGGUCUUGGUUGGUAAUGUUUGUUUGGACCCCUCUCUGACAAGAUUGAAAGGAAACCAGUCUUCCUAACAGGUGAGGAGAAUGAAGCUCACAACUUUACAUAUUAUGAUCAUAAUCCAUAUCCUAUGAAGUAGUUGACAGGCUAAUAUGAUGUAGUCUGCUUUUCAGCCCAGCUAAUAGUAAAAAUCUCAGAGAUAUGGUUAGGGCUCAUCAUUCAUCAUUAAAAAAAACAACAAUUGGCCGUAGACUGCUAGUGCAUUGAUAAUAUGCUCUUCUACUGACUUUCUGUUUGAUUGACCCACUGUUUCUCUCUCUCUGCUUCUCUCUCGGCCUCUCUCUCUCCCAGCUCUGUUCUUCGAUGUUUUGUUUUGGUUAUGCCACAGCCUUUGCUCCCAGCUAUGAGGCGUUUGCGUUGUCCUGCCUGCUAAUGGGUCAAAUGAAUGGGGGAAUGUCCCUCGUCUGUUUCGUGCUUACUCAGGAGUAUGUGGGCAAGGCCUACUGGGCCAUGACGGGUACAAAUAAUCAUGACACUGACAGAUGUUUGUCAGACACAGCUACAGUAACUGAGGAGGGUGGGACUAGGAUUCGACAAAGGGUAAAUUGUAGUCAAGAAGAGUCAGUAGGAACAAAGUGAAAUAAGAUGGUGGUCUGGCACUAUUGGAAAGUGUUUUGUCCCAACUAUUUCAAUGUAGUUUUUGGUGUUUGUGUUUUUCAGGGACCUUGCUAAUAUGACCUUUGCAUUAAAGGCUUGACUGACACCUUUCCCAAUACAUUUGACCCCAUAUGUGAGACUGCAGUUUGCUGAUAGAACAAAUGGCAAGAUGCCCUUUUUGUCACCUGUCUUUGUCUUGUUCCUGUUUUUCGGGCUGAGGCAGGACUCUCCCGGAGUCUCCCCGCUGGCUGUAUUCCCGUGAUUACACGGAGCAGGCGGAGGAGGUUCUGCACUACAUGGCCGUGCGGAAUGGGAACGGCAACGCUACAGCCAAAGUGAAGCUCCGCAGGUGUCCUGGCUUCGUCAAGAUGUAACUAGGACAACGAUGGCCCUGGUCUCCUCGGUCUCGUCACCCACCUAGUGCUCCGCUGGAGGACCGUGGUGUCAUGUAUGUCUGGUAUUCCUGCAGCCUGGUGUACAAUGGGCUCAUCAUGAAUGCCAGUGAGGAUGAUGGGAACCGCUACUUCAGUGUUGCCAUGUAUGGAUUGGUGGAGCUCCCGGCCUACCCUCUCUGUAUCUAUUUCAUAAACAAGCAGUGGUAAGAUUCUCACCACCUGUCAUGAUAUCCUAUGAAUUGAAGUCUGUCAGUGGUGCACUGAAUAAAUGUCUUGUUUUGUGGUUAAAAAUAAAAAGUUUAAUUGUAAUAGUUUCACAAGACUGUUAUUCUCAUCACACCUGUGCUAGACAGUUGGAAUGUAUGCUUGUUUUUAGGUCUGGGAGAAGGAAAACAUGGCUAGCUUUCUGGGGUUAUAUCUAUGCACUAUGUUAAUCCCAGUAAAUGCUGGUAAGGGCAUCCCAUCUACAGUCUGACAGAAUAUAUUACAUACAUUUUUAUUCAUAAUGUGUUUUUUUAAAAGCUUUGUUACCCUGUCUUUAUUAUUUAGGGACUGUGGUUCAAUGCUACCUCUUUAGAUGUUUUAUUAGGAAAGCUGUUGGUCAGUGCGUCAGUGUGCGUCUACACUACUGAACUGUAACCCACUGUUAUAAGGAACGCUGGUCUUGGGGUCUGCUCAAUGUCCUGCUGAGUCGGAGGGAUCCUGGACCUUUUUUGCCCUCUACGACACUUUGUUUGAAGAGGACCAAUUGAAAACGAGCCACAAACUAAAUCAGUGACUAUGAACGAGAAAACAAUCUGACGAGAGGGACUAUCGAAGCCUGUUCACACACGAGUGCUUUCUCACAUCAAAUCAGAUGUCCUCUUGUUUCCAUGGUGAAGCAAGGACAGGGCUAGCUACAUGCCCGUGAUGGAUGGUGGACCAUUUUACAGGGAACAGCAUACAUGUUUUGAAUCUUUUCAUGUUAUUUUGUUUCUGUGUGGGGGUUGUGUGAUACGUUUUGUACUGUACAAUGAAAUGUGAAGUGCCUUCUAAAAUCGCUGUUUAGCAAUGUCGAUAAUGUCAAAUGGGAUUAUAAAGCAACAAUUAAUCAUGUGAUAUCAAAUGGAAGAGAAUUACAAUUACUGUCAAAGGUUCUCCGUUUCUAACAAUUUGAAGCCUGUAAUUUAAAUGGUUUGUUUCAUGAUGUUGGGUGAUUAAGCCUGGCUCGCGGUCAGUUUCAAUUCAUCCCAAAGGUGUUCGAUAGAGUUGAGGUCAGGGCUCUGUGCAGGUCAGUCAAG